GGCUUUCUAACUUCCCUUUUCUUUCUCCCUUGUGAACCCUCACCACGAACUCCUUCUCCACCCGGCUCCCCUUCUUCCGACCACCGAAUCAGGCGGCCUCCUCUUCUCUCCUCCAGCCUCUUCACCUGACCGGCUCCGCCGGCUCACUCUCCGGCAACCACCACCAGCGCCACCUCCAUGUCAGGAGAGCACGGGAUGGGAAGGAGCCCGGCAGCUGCCCUCCUCCCUCCCCUGCGCUAGACGCCGCUGGAUUCGGGCUCCCCUGGCAAGGGCACCGCCGGAUCUCGAGUCCCCCGACCCCGACUUCGCCGGAUCCAUGCCAGCCCCGCCGCCGCCCAAGCUCCCCGACCCCGCCUUCGCCGGAUCCAGGCCAGCCCCUCCGCCGGGCAUUUGGGUGAAGAAGAUUUCUACAUCCCAUAAUUGACUCCAUCCAGUAAGGCUACUCUGAGUCUUGACGGUACAAGCUUCCUCUAAUAAUGACAGAUGAUACAAAAAGCAUGGAGACAAUUACUUCCACUUUUGUAGCUGAAGAUUUGGUUGAACAGACUGCUCUAGAAGCUUCUCAGAACAUGAAUAUAGAUCCCUCGGACCACGCAAAUGCUCUUCCAAAAGGCAUUGGCAAACAGUACUUCACCAUAGGAAUGAAUCCGGAGUAUUUUUCAAUAUCUCUAUCAAUUAUGUGCUGAAAAAGAGUUAUCCAAUUGACAAUCUAAACUUCGAUACAUUGUUACCAGCCCCACGGGUCACACCACUACUCUUCUCUGAUACUAUCACAUCACUUGAUUAUUUCUUCUAAUAAACUGGCAUUUUCAGGACAACACAAAGAUAUAUUAUCGCUCCAAGCUGCCACCGACAUGAAUUCAUCUCAAAUGUUUGUCAUCUAAUUUUUUUCCUUUCAAGGUUCUAAGGUCUUACUUUUCCAUCUGAAAUUAUUUUGGACAUGCAGCAAUUCCAGUUCAGGUGUUACUAUACCACCAUCUACACAAGAGAAAAUUUCAGACAAACAAUCUGAAAGUCUUUUCCGAACCAAAAUUAGUUCUUUUAGUUUCUAAUUUGUAGCAUGAUAUCAGCUCAAGUACCAAAAGACAGCUUGAUUUUGAGCAGAACAAUGGUGAAGAUAUUCAAAGGUAUUCCAUUUGUAUUUUGUUUCCUAUUGCACCAUAAUUUUCCAUAUGAUAUAUAUUGUCAUAUCAUCCGUAGCAAUGCCAAACCGAAUGCUAAUUGCGACAUAAGCAAAGGUAUGUGCUACUUCCACAAUAAGUAAACUAAAUACGUACCAUUUUAAAAGUUUCUAACUUCUCAUAUAGUUUUCAAGAAGAUCCCACCUCUUGACCGAUCUUCUCAGCAACACGAGAUGAUCACUUUCAUCAAAUAUAAAUAAAUACAGGUAAACCUCUAAAUGUCAUCACAUCUGCAAUCUUCUUAUUUUUGGCAACUAUACUCCUCUCUGCCACAUUACUAAAAAGGGAGAUCUGAAAUACUUUACACAUUGCCAAUUUGAUCAUAUACUUCCAAAUAAACUUUCUGUUUCAAAUAUUCGAACAAGUUUCUGUUUAAAAUACUAACAUGGUUGUUCAUGGAUUAUAUGCAAGUCAAUGUGCAGAGCUGUUGAUGCAUAAGGAUCGAUCAUGGCAUCCUGAAUGGAUAUGCGCACCUACUGUGCUUCAUGCACAUCCCCCACAUCAGUCAUGAUAAUUACUUAGUUGUGUUUGCGAACUUUUCAAUGAUUUGUGGUGACGUCGGAUGUAUUUUGCUGCAAUGAUGUUACCUGCAACGUAUUAUGUACAUCCUUUCGUUUGCUUUGAGUUACAUGAUGUUCUCCUGACAAAUAGUUCAGUCUACA